CAACCUACAAAGCUUUGUGUUUUGUUAGGCUUGGANUUGGAGGCUUGCUGGCUCUUGUCAGCUUCUCUUAAAUUCAUUAGCUUGAUUCCUUGUGGAUCGGCCUCGGUGUGAUAAUUGUCUACGCUGUGACCGUGAAACAUAUGGUGAGCUUCUAA
rnacentral:misc_RNA from 1 species